rnacentral:rRNA from 1 species
GGGCACCACCAGGGGGUGCAGCUGCGGCUUAUUUGACUCAACACGGGAAAUCUCACCAGGCCCGGACACCGGAAGGAUUGACAGAUUAACAGCUCUUUCUUGAUUCGGUGGGUGGUGGUGCAUGGCCGUUCUUAGUUGGUGGAGCGAUUUGUCUGGUUAAUUCCGGUAACGAACGAGACUCUAGCCUGCUAAAUAGGCGUCGCCAUUUAGGUGUGCUCGGCUUCGGUCGUGCAACUCACUGGCGACGUAUUAAAAUUCUUCUUAGAGGGACCGGCGGCUUCGAGCCGCACGAGAUUGAGCAAUAACAGGUCUGUGAUGCCCUUAGAUGUCCUGGGCCGCACGCGCGCUACACUGAAGGAAUCA